AGCGAACGCUGGCGGCAGGCUUAACACAUGCAAGUCGAGCGGGCCCUUCGGGGUCAGCGGCGGACGGGUGAGUAACGCGUGGGAACGUGCCUUCUGGUUCGGAAUAACUCAGGGAAACUUGAGCUAAUACCGGAUACGCCCUUUUGGGGAAAGGUUUACUGCCGGAAGAUCGGCCCGCGUCUGAUUAGCUAGUUGGUGGGGUAACGGCCUACCAAGGCGACGAUCAGUAGCUGGUCUGAGAGGAUGAUCAGCCACACUGGGACUGAGACACGGCCCAGACUCCUACGGGAGGCAGCAGUGGGGAAUAUUGGACAAUGGGCGCAAGCCUGAUCCAGCCAGGCCGCGUGAGUGAUGAAGGCCUUAGGGUUGUAAAGCUCUUUUAUCCGGGACGAUAAUGACGGUACCGGAGGAAUAAGCCCCGGCUAACUUCGUG
rnacentral:rRNA from 1 species